UACAGAGGUCUCAAGCGUGGUUCGGAUUCAUUGGGCGAAAAGGGUGCGUAGGUGGCGCGAUAAGUCGGGUGUGAAAUCUCGGAGCUUAACUCCGAAAUUGCAUUCGAUACUGCCGUGCUUGAGGACUGGAGAGGAGACUGGAAUUCAUGGUGUAGCAGUGAAAUGCGUAGAGAUCAUGAGGAAGACCAGUGGCGAAGGCGGGUCUCUGGACAGUUCCUGACACUGAGGCACGAAGGCCAGGGGAGCAAACGGG
rnacentral:rRNA from 1 species